rnacentral:rRNA from 1 species
GAUUUCUGACGAAACUGCUAGCUGGCCCGUCACGUCAGUGAUGUGUGCCGGCUUGGCGUUUGUCAUCCGUUCGAAUGAUAUGCGCGCUGCCCUUCACUGGGUUGGUGCUGCAUGUUUUCGAUCUUUUACUUUGAAAAAAUUAGAGUGUUUCAAGCAGGCAUGUUUGCUAUGAAUACAUUAGCAUGGAAUAAUAAUCUAGGACUUCGGUUCUAUUUUGUUGGUUUCUAGGACUGAAGUAAUGAUUGAUAGGGAUAGUUGGGGGUGCUAGUAUUCAGCGGCCAGAGGUGAAAUUCUCGGAUUCGCUGAAGACUAACUUAUGCGAAAGCAUU